UACGGAGGGGGUUGGCGUUGUUCGGAAUUACUGGGCGUAAAGCGUACGUAGGCGGACUAGUCAGUCAGAGGUGAAAUCCCGGGGCUCAACCCCGGAACUGCCUUUGAUACUGCUAGUCUUGAGUUCGAGAGAAGUGAGUGGAAUUCCAAGUGUAGAGGUGAAAUUCGUAGAUAUUUGGAGGAACACCAGUGGCGAAGGCGGCUCACUGGCUCGAUACUGACGCUGAGGUACGAAAGUGUGGGGAGCAAAC
rnacentral:rRNA from 1 species